rnacentral:tRNA from 1 species
GCCACUUUAGCUCAGUUGGUAGAGCAGCGCUUUCGUAAAGCGGAGGUCGUGGGUUCGAGUCCCAUGAGUGGCUC